rnacentral:rRNA from 1 species
CCGAGCCGGGAAUGGAAAUACCGGUACAAGCGGAGAAGGAGUCUGGUUGGCAAAUCCGCCAGGCAAUCCGAAGACGUGAUGUGGAGCGAAUUAGAGUAGCGAAGCGUGUGAGCCAUGUGCCGAGAAAAGCCGCUAUUGUUUCAUGUGUGCCCGUACCGUAAACCGACACAGGUGGAUGAGGAGAGAAUCCUAAGGCCGGCGGAAGAAGCAUUGUUAAGGAACUCGGCAAAAAUGACCCCGUAACUUCGGGAGAAGGGGUGCCUGCUAACGCAGGCCGCAGAGAAUAGGCUCAAGCAACUGUUUAGCAAAAACACAGGUCUAUGCGAAACCGAAAGGUGAAGUAUAUGGGCUGACGCCUGCCCGGUGCUGGAAGGUUAAGAGGAGAGGUUAGCGCAAGCGAAGCUUUGAAUUUAAGCCCCAGUAAACGGCGGCCGUAACUAUAACGGUCCUAAGGUAGCGAAAUUCCUUGUCGGGUAAGUUCCGACCCGCACGAAAGGCGUAAUGAUUUGAGCACUGUCUCGACAAUGCAUCCGGUGAAAUUGAAGUACCAGUGAAGAUGCUGGUUACCCGCGCUAGGACGGAAAGACCCCAUGGAGCUUUACUCCAGUUUGGUACUGGGAUUCGGUACUGCAUGUACAGGAUAGGUGGGAGACUAAGAACUUGGGACGCCAGUUUCAAGGGAGUCGCUGUUGGGAUACCACCCUUGCAGUAUUGGAUUUCUAACCAGCCGCCGUGAUCCGGCGGUGGGACAAUGCCAGGCGGGGAGUUUGACUGGGGCGGUCGCCUCCGAAAGGGUAUCGGAGGCGCUCAAAGGUUCCCUCAGAAUGGUUGGAAACCAUUUGAAGAGUGCAAAGGCAGAAGGGAGCUUGACUGCGACACCGACGGGUGGAGCAGGUAGGAAACUAGGACUUAGUGAUCCGGUGGCAUAAAGUGGGAUUGCCAUCGCUCAACGGAUAAAAGCUACCCUGGGAUAACAGGCUUAUCACUCCCAAGAGUUCACAUCGACGGAGUGGUUUGGCACCUCGAUGUCGGCUCAUCGCAUCCUGGGGCUGUAGCAGGUCCCAAGGGUUGGGCUGUUCGCCCAUUAAAGCGGUACGCGAGCUGGGUUCAGAACGUCGUGAGACAGUUCGGUCCCUAUCCGGCGCGGGCGGAGGAUAUUUGAGAGGAGCUGUCCUUAGUACGAGAGGACUGGGAUGGACGGACCACUGGUGUAUCUGCUGUCGACCAACGGCAUGGCAGAGUAGCCAAGUCCGGAAGGGAUAAACGCUGAAGGCAUUUAAGCGUGAAGCCCCCCUCAAGGUGAGAUAUCCCUCACAUAAGUGAGUAAGAUCCCUUGAAGACUACAAGGUAGAUAGGGCAGAGGUGGAAGCACGGUAACGUGUGGAGCUGACUGUUACUAAUCGAUCGAGGGCUUGAUC